CCGAGCGUUGUCCGGAAUUACUGGGCGUAAAGAGCUCGUAGGUGGUUUGUCGCGUUGUUCGUGAAAACUCACAGCUCAACUGUGGGCGUGCGGGCGAUACGGGCAGACUUGAGUACUGCAGGGGAGACUGGAAUUCCUGGUGUAGCGGUGGAAUGCGCAGAUAUCAGGAGGAACACCGGUGGCGAAGGCGGGUCUCUGGGCAGUAACUGACGCUGAGGAGCGAAAGCGUGGGAGCGAACAGG
rnacentral:rRNA from 1 species